rnacentral:rRNA from 1 species
GACGUAGGGCGCGAGCGUUGUCCGGAUUUAUUGGGCGUAAAGAGCUCGUAGGCGGCUCAUUGCGUCAACCGUGAAAACCUGCCGCUCAACGGUAGGCUUGCGGUUGAUACGGGUGGGCUGGAGUUCGGUAGGGGAGACUGGAAUUCCUGGUGUAGCGGUGAAAUUCGCAGAUAUCAGGAGGAACACCGGUGGCGAAGGCGGGUCUCUGGGCCGAUACUGACGCUGAGGAGCGAAAGCGUGGGGAGCGAACAGG